UACGAAGGGGGCUAGCGUUGUUCGGAUUUACUGGGCGUAAAGCGCACGUAGGCGGAUCGAUCAGUCAGGGGUGAAAUCCCAGGGCUCAACCCUGGAACUGCCUUUGAUACUGUCGAUCUGGAGUAUGGAAGAGGUGAGUGGAAUUCCGAGUGUAGAGGUGAAAUUCGUAGAUAUUCGGAGGAACACCAGUGGCGAAGGCGGCUCACUGGUCCAUUACUGACGCUGAUGCACGAAAGCUAGGGGAGCAAACAGG
rnacentral:rRNA from 1 species